rnacentral:miRNA from 1 species
GUAUAUAUUUUUGUGUGUGUAUAUAUGUCAUGUUUAUGUACAUAUGCAUAUUCAUACACACAAACAUAUUCA